rnacentral:lncRNA from 1 species
CGUUUAGUUUGAACUUUCCAGCUCCAGUCCCAGCAAAUACACACUCACGCACACACACGCGCGCGCAAGGAGAACCUCUCAGAGGCGAGCCAACAGGCACCGGGGGCUCUCUGGCCGCGUCUUUCUCUCUCCCUCGCUCUUAUUGGCGCGGAGUGACAGUCUACCUGGGUCCCAAACCUGCGGGCGAGAUGACCUUAAAACCUGCCGCCCUCCCCCACCGCAUUCAACCUGAAAGCUCGGCUGGCAGAAGAGCCCAGUUCUGAUUCAAUGAAAUCGUUCUUCCACUUGCAUCUUCCCGACCCUACUUCGGAGCAGUUUCUCCAAACCCCUUCCAGGCUUCCCAUUAGGGAAUACAAUCGUCCAUUGAUACCCCCUCUCCUCACCCUCCCUCCAUACUCUGGCCCCCAAGAUGCUUCAAGUCUCCAGUGUUCAGAGGUACCAGUGUUCACUGGCAGCCACAGUCCACACUUUGAUGGCCACAUUCACCAUCACUGGGAAAUACACAUCUGGUGCUGAG